rnacentral:rRNA from 1 species
UGUGGCAUACCUAAAACGUUGCUUCGGCGGGAACAGACGGCCCUGUAACAACGGGCCGCCCCCGCCAGAGGACCCCUAACUCUGUUUUUAUAAUGUUUUUCUGAGUAAACAAGCAAAUAAAUUAAAACUUUCAACAACGGAUCUCUUGGCUCUGGCAUCGAUGAAGAACGCAGCGAAAUGCGAUAAGUAAUGUGAAUUGCAGAAUUCAGUGAAUCAUCGAAUCUUUGAACGCACAUUGCGCCCGCCAGUAUUCUGGCGGGCAUGCCUGUUCGAGCGUCAUUACAACCCUCAGGCCCCCGGGCCUGGCGUUGGGGAUCGGCGGAAGCCCCCUGUGGGCACACGCCGUCCCUCAAAUACAGUGGCGGUCCCGCCGCAGCUUCCAUUGCGUAGUAGCUAACACCUCGCAACUGGAGAGCGGCGCGGCCAUGCCGUAAAACACCCAACUUCUGAAUGUUGACCUCGAAUCAGGUAGGAAUACCCGCUGAACUUAAGCAUAUCAAUAA